rnacentral:lncRNA from 1 species
AAACAAUCAAGCUUGAAUGCCGAGAAGCAUAUUGAUGAACGGAUUGCAAUGGAAAAGCCAAAGACGAGCUCAAGUGUUCAAGACCGAAGACCCAAGGCGUAGGUCGUUAGGUAGAACAAAUGUAAGAGCAACGCUUAGGUUAUCUCGUCUUUUGGCUCAACAUAGGUCAUCGUAAAUAUGCAUAAAAUCAUUUUAUUAAAUCAUAUUUAUCAUAAACAUAUUUUAUUAAAU